CCCUUAGAUGUUCUGGGCUGCACGCGUGCUACACUGAUAUUGCCAAUAUGUCAUUCUUAUCCGAAAUGGAUUGGGUAAUCAAGUAAUGAAAUUUCAUGCUUGGAAUCGGUAAUUGCAAUUUUAUCGUGAACGAGGAAUUCCUAGUAAGCACUAGUCAUCAGCUAAUGUUGAUUAUGUCCCUGCCCUUUGUACACACCGCCCGUCGCUACUACUGAUUGGGUGUUCAAGUGAGAUGCUUAGAGCCUUGUUGCAUGGUUCAUUAUUGUGCUCCGAAAGGAAAAAGUUUCAAGCUUGAGUGUCUAGAGGAAGUAAAAGUCGUAACA
rnacentral:rRNA from 1 species